GCCCUUGACCUCCCUGCUCGUAUGACGACACAUCAACACAAUAACAUUUUGACGUUGGUGUUGUGGACUUUGCUUCAGAAUAACACUAUUGGAAAUGAGAGAUUAAAACGACCUGAAGAUGAAUACGGCUCUGAGACACUGGAAGGAGGCCGCGACGGUCAUACUAGCUGCUGGUACGAGACAUAAACUCCCUGUAGAUAGUUUGACAAGAUGUGUCGAUAAAGGCACCUCUGCACCUGCGAUCAGUGAGCACUCCGACAUGCCUGACAGGUUAGCCUUCGACUAUGAAGUGUUGUUGUUGAAACGAAGCGGUACCAGUGGUUUCAUGCCGAAUGCUUAUGUCUUUCCCGGCGGUCUGGUGGAUCCGUCAGAUUUCUCAAGUGAAUGGCUUGAUCUUUUUCAGUCUUUUCGGCGCUCACCGAAUUUUGGACUGGGAUUUGUGAAACAGCCGCCGGAGACGAGACCCCCCAUCUUCGCCACUGACAGGAAGAGACUGGGUUCUCUCGUUCCAGGUGACGUCGCAUUUAGAAUCUGUGCAGUGAGGGAAACGUUCGAGGAGUCCGGUGUACUUCUAGUCGUGCCAAAAGAGGAAGAGAGUACUUUAUUUAACAGCAUCGAGAACAACCUAUACAGUCAACCCGAAUUAACCAGAAUAACUGAUCCCUGUGACAAGAGUGAAUUGGCUAAAUGGAGAGUGCUGGUGAACGAGAACCCUUCUAACUUCAUCAGAAUGUGUAGGGAGCUGGAGUGUCUACCGAACAUCUGGGCUCUGCAUGAAUGGGGCAACUGGCUGACCCCUACUGGUGUGUACGGGAAACAGAGGAGGUACGACACGGCCUUCUACAUGUGCUGCUUGCAAGAAACACCACCUCACACCCUACAAGACGAGAAGGAAAUUGUGCACUUUAAGUGGUCCACUCCCCCAGAGAUCCUCCACAGUUACCAGGCCAGAGAGAUGUGGAUAGCCCCUCCACAGUUCUAUGAUCUCAGCCGUAUGUGCCGGUUCCCCUCCCUGCAGAACCUCCACAGCUUCUCCAGACAGAGAGCUUCAGAGGGCUGUGAACAGUGGCUCCCUGUCCGCAUGGUGUCAGACAGCUGCUACAUAUCACUCCUCCCAGGUUAGUGUUUACAUGAAGGGCCUGAUUACUACAUAUCACUCCUCCCAGGUUAGUGUUUACAUGAAGGGCCUGAUUACUACAUAUCACUCCUCCCAGGUUAGUGUUUACAUGAAGGGUCUGAUUACUACAUAUCACUCCUCCCAGGUUAGUGUUUACAUGAAGGGCCUGAUUACUACAUAUCACUCCUCCC